rnacentral:rRNA from 1 species
UACGUAGGCAGCAAGCGUUGUUCGGAGUUACUGGGCGUAAAGAGUAUGUAGGCGGUUGCGUAAGUUCGGUGUGAAAUCUCCCGGCUUAACUGGGAGGGUGCGCCGAAAACUGCGUGGCUAGAGUGCGGGAGAGGAGAGCGGAAUUCCUGGUGUAGCGGUGAAAUGCGUAGAUAUCAAGAGGAACACCUGAGGUGAAGACGGGUUGCUGGGCUGACACGUGACGCUGAGGCGCGAAAGCCAGGGGGAGCAAACGGGG